CCCUUAGAUGUCCUGGGCCGCACGCGCGCUACACUGAGUGUCUGAGAUACGAGUCUGCCUGGUCCGGCAAGGUCUAGGUAAUCGCUAAAAGACACAUCAUGCUUGGGAUAGAUUAUUGCAAAUAUUAAUCUUGAACGAGGAAUUCCUAGUAAGCGCAAGUCAACAGCUUGCGUUGAUUACGUCCCUGCGCUUUGUACACACCGCCCGUCGCUACUACUGAUUGGAUGUUUAAGCGAGGUUCUCGAACUGCUAGCGACUUAGCUUCGGUGAGGUCGCAGUGUGGGAAGUGAACCUAGCUUUGGUGUCUAGAGGAAGUAAAAGUCGUAACA
rnacentral:rRNA from 1 species